CGGGUAACCUACCCAUCAGAGGGGGAUAACACUUGGAAACAGGUGCUAAUACCGCAUAACAGUUUAUGCCGCAUGGCAUAAGAGUGAAAGGCGCUUUCGGGUGUCGCUGAUGGAUGGACCCGCGGUGCAUUAGCUAGUUGGUGAGGUAACGGCUCACCAAGGCCACGAUGCAUAGCCGACCUGAGAGGGUGAUCGGCCACACUGGGACUGAGACACGGCCCAG
rnacentral:rRNA from 1 species